rnacentral:sRNA from 1 species
CAACACUCAAAAUCCUAUUCCAAAUCUGUUUAAAAAAUGAUCAAACCAGACUGGAUGUUCCUUAGAACUGAACAAUACUUCUAGGUACCACGAUGCCACUCCCCCGAGGCACCGCUGGUGGAAAGCGCGUUAGCGCAUUCCGUUUAAACUCCUAAUGGUCUUGGCCCGGUUCGUUUACGAAGCCGG